UACAGAGGGGGCAAGCGUUGUCCGGACUUACUGGGUGUAAAGCGCAUGCAGGUGGCCUGGCAAGUGUGCUGUGAAAGCCCCGUGCUUAACACGGGGAGGCCAGUACAGACUGCCAAGCUCGAGGACUGCAGAGGGUAGGGGAAUUGCUGGUGUAGUGGUGAAAUGCGUAGAGAUCAGCAGGAACACCAAGGACGAAGGUACCUGACCUGGGCAGUAUCUGACACUCAAGUGCGACAGCGUGGGGAGCGAACCGGAUAG
rnacentral:rRNA from 1 species